UCCUAUUUUUGUGGUAUGUUUAUUGGUUUUCUGAUUACUAAACAUAAUUUCUAUAUACGUAUGUUUUUUUUUGUUUUGACUGAUAGGAAAUACCAUAUGACUUUGCUACAUUAAUGUGGGGAGAACAACCACCGUACAGUGACUUAAGAUUGUUAAUGGUAAUAACUUAUGGGUUGUAAGAUUAAAAAGAACUAGUUUGGGCCCUGUGCUUGGUGACGGCUUCAAACUGGUACGGAAAUUCAAUUCAAGAAGGUUGAAUUAGUUGUUUUGGAUGACUCAAUUGAUGGUGAUGAUGGAUAUGAUUUGCUGAUUGCGUCGGGACAUUAGCAGAAGCUGAGAACUAACAAAACUGAUGUUGACGAAGGUGUUGUUGGGGAUGGUGAAAAUGACUAUAUGCAGAUUUCAACUUUUGAGUCUAUCCUGAAUUAUUUUUCAUCUCUGCUUGAAAUGGAAGAAGUUAAAAAGAAGGUUGAUCCUAAAGGGAAGGCAAAUGUUGUUGGUGAUGAAAGGCUUCCUUCAAAGGUUUGUUUUGAAUAAGUAAAUUGUAGUUUUAUGAAAUUAAUUGAAUUAGUUUACCAUCUUUUAUGUUUACUUUAAUUUGUUUCAUGUGAAGAGCAAGUUUGA